UCACCCGAGGAGCGCUGCGAGGAGAACCCUUCCCCAGGCUCGGGCAGCCGCGGGCCGUUCACCGGCCCGCGACCCAACGGCGCUCACCUGAC
rfam:Chromobacterium violaceum ATCC 12472, complete genome.